rnacentral:piRNA from 1 species
UAUGUGGAAUUGGUCCAGCGGAAGCGAGU